UCCCUGGUAGCUCAGCGGUAGAGCAGUUGACUGUUAAUCAAUUGGUCGGAAGUUCGAAUCUUUCCCGGGGAGCCA
rnacentral:tRNA from 1 species